rnacentral:rRNA from 1 species
ACAGAGGGUGCGAGCGUUAAUCGGAAUUACUGGGCGUAAAGGGUGCGUAGGUGGUUUUGUAAGUUAGAUGUGAAAUUCCUGGGCUUAACCUGGGGACUGCGUCUGAUACUGCGAAGCUAGAGUACUGUAGAGGGAAGUGGAAUUUCCGGUGUAGCAGUGAAAUGCGUAGAUAUCGGAAGGAACAUCAGUGGCGAAGGCGACUUCCUGGACAGAUACUGACACUGAGGCACGAAAGCGUGGGGAGCAAACAGGAUUAGAUACCCUGGUAGUCCAUGCUGUAAACGAUGAAGACUGGCUGUUGGGUGCCCUUGGGCACUUAGUAGCGAAGCUAACGCGUUAAGUCUUCCGCCUGGGGAGUACGGCCGCAAGGUUA